GGGCCCCGAGGUUAGCCGCAAACUCUGAUUGGCUCUCAGCGAGCGCCGUCUGAUGAAUUUAAUUAAAGAGGCACAAACAUGUGAUGUAUGGAGAGUUAAAGGAGCUGCUC